rnacentral:rRNA from 1 species
UCAGGCCUAACACAUGCAAGUCGAGCGCGCCUUUCGGGGUGAGCGGCGGACGGGUUAGUAACGCGUGGGAAUAUGCCCUUUGGUACGGAAUAGCCUCUGGAAACGGAGAGUAAUACCGUAUGAGCCCUUCGGGGGAAAGAUUUAUCGCCAAAGGAUUAGCCCGCGUUAGAUUAGGUAGUUGGUGGGGUAAUGGCCUACCAAGCCUACGAUCUAUAGCUGGUUUUAGAGGAUGAUCAGCAACACUGGGACUGAGACACGGCCCAGACUCCUACGGGAGGCAGCAGUGGGGAAUCUUGGACAAUGGGGGCAACCCUGAUCCAGCCAUGCCGCGUGAGUGAUGAAGGCCUUAGGGUCGUAAAGCUCUUUCGCCUGUGAAGAUAAUGACGGUAGCAGGUAAAGAAACCCCGGCUAACUCCGUGCCAGCAGCCGCGGUAAUACGGAGGGGGUUAGCGUUGUUCGGAAUUACUGGGCGUAAAGCGCACGUAGGCGGAUCGGAAAGUUGGGGGUGAAAUCCCGGGGCUCAACCCCGGAACUGCCUCCAAAACUAUCGGUCUAGAGUUCGAGAGAGGCGAGUGGAAUUCCGAGUGUAGAGGUGAAAUUCGUAGAUAUUCGGAGGAACACCAGUGGCGAAGGCGGCUCACUGGCUCGAUACUGACGCUGAGGUGCGAAAGUGUGGGGAGCAAACAGGAUUAGAUACCCU